AUUGCUUGAUUCAUCGAAAAGGGCGGGGACUCUGGGCAGCGGUUGUGGAGUGCCGCGGGUCCACAGUGCUGCACUGAGCAGAGAGGAAGGGGCGUCCCGGGAUAUUUGGAGGAUAAAGGGUGAUGACCACACCUGCCGGCUCCGGCAGGGGCUUCGGCUCCGUGUCCUGGUGGGGCCUGUCCCCGGCGCUGGACCUGCAGGCUGAAAGUGAGUCCCAGCACGCAAGGUCUGAUACACCGUCUGCCUUCCCAGCCUGAGCAGACGGCCUUUUAGAGCUCGUAGUCCAAGCGUCGGUGGCAGGGGGGCGCUAACGUUCUCCAACGCUCCAGCGGCAGAGGGCGCGCUCCCAGGGGCAGCCCCGAGGUCCUGUCUGCGGACUACGAAUCCCAGAAUACUCAGAGGAAACACCUCCCCUUAGAACCUAGGCCACGGGCGGAACGCCUACUGGGAUUUGUAGUCCAUUUUUGUAGGGGAUGCUACGGUGGACGCUCUGCCAACCACCAUGGUGCCCCAGCCGGCUGUCAUCUUGCCAGGUCCUCCUGUGG
rnacentral:sRNA from 1 species